rnacentral:tRNA from 1 species
UGGGCCGGUAGCUCAGUGGAAGAGCACCGGACUUUUAAUCCGGGUGUCGUGGGUUCGAGUCCCACCCGGCUCAA